AAGGGCAUCAACAUCCUCGAGGGUAAGCCCGAGCCACAGUACAGCUCCGAGGAAUAGAUGAUGCUCUGCACCAGGAUAUACUCGCGGGAGCUGUACGACCAGUACCGCAAGUCCGUUGAGUACAUCCGAGCAACGGUGAGUUGAUUUGCAGUAUACGUACUCCCUCCGUCCCAAAAAUCUUGUCUUAGAUUUGUCUAGAUAUGGAUGUAUCUAUUAGUGUUAGAUACAUCCGUAUGUAGACAAAUCUAAGACAAGAAUUUUGGGAAGGAGGAAGUACAUGACUGCUGUGUUCAGACUAGCCCCUGUUUUCUGUGUGUGCUGGUGCUGUUGGUUUCAGGUCCAUUGAACCAAGGAGAAUCUGAUUGUUUUUUCGUUUCGAACAUGCACAGAUGGGUUUGCCUUUGUGUACUUUUUUGGGGUUCCGGUGGAGCGUGAGGGGUCGGUUGUUUUACUGGCUGGGAAUGGUUACAUUCUCUUCUUAGUGUCUUACUAUGUACCACCACAUAAUCAGAUCCCGUUAAUUUUUUUUGUUUUUUAUUCACAAAAAAACAAUAUUAUUUUGUUCUUUGACAGUUUGAAAUGAACGGUCCUAUUAGAAUUCCAGUAUACUACUAUCUUUUAUGCAGUAUGUCUGUAGGUGUAGCCGGUCUAAUACCCUUUAAAUUAGUGCAUAGUGAUUUCGCUUUUUACCUGGCAAGGUGCUUUAGGUAAGUUUAUUUAUGCUCCACUUUCUAGGGCCAAAGAAUGCAGUCUCAUUUGUGGAUUUCUGCUUUUACUUUUUCGUUAGUAUAAUUCUGAUGCAGACUUAAUGAUCAUCCUCAAUUUCAGGCUGAAGGUCUUCAUUGUCGCAUAUUCAAAUUUAGAUUGGACAUGUAUAUACGUAGUUCCUGAUGGAAUAUUUCUUCUUUGUCUGACUUUUCAUUUGUGCUAGAUAAUUAACCAUUAGUUCGCAUCUCAAUAAUGGUGUUUUGUUUGUUCCUGAGACUUGCAGGUUAGUGAUUGUUGGCUUUGCUGAAUUGGUAGAUUUUUAGUUCAGGUAAACACUACUGAACUCCUGAACUGGUGACCUUUCUAUACAAGUUUUGUCUAUGUGGCAACAUUUUUUUGGCUCCUAAUAGUUAUUUUUUUCUAGAAGAUAGUUAAUGAAUUACUUGCAUUUUGACUAUAACUACACAUAUAUGGAUCGAACAUCCAAAUUUAUUCCUUUUACAUUUGAUUACUGCUAUGCUGAUAUGGAUGCACUAUUUUCAUGUAUAUAACAGUCAAGUGUUAUCAUUUUCUUCGUUUUAGAUUAUUUGUAUAAACACUACUGUAGUUAUUUUGUUCUAGAAGAUAGUGAAUGAAUUACUUGCAUUUUGACGAUAACUGCACAUUUAUGGAUCGAACAUCCAAAUUUAUUCCUUUUACAUUUGACUACUACUAUGCUGAUUUGGAUGCACUAUUUUCAUGUAUAUAACAGUCAAGUGUUAUCAUUGUAUAAACAUAACUGUUACCAUUCGAGGAAAACAAUGCUUUUGUAUGCACAUCCGGUUAAAGGAAGGUAAGGUAUGGUGGCGGUCCCAGUUCUAGAAGAAUGCAUAGUAUUACUACAAGAUUUUGGGAAGGUUACUAAGCAUUGUAAUAGAGAAUCGAAUGUUGUUGCUCAUGAGCUAGCUAGAUGGGGUGGUCCAAACACUCCCUCUCUAUGGGUGGAUGCACCCCGGAUUUUAUUGUAAAACUCUUAGCGGACGAUAUAAGUGUUAUUGAGUAAUAAACCUAGCAACAUUAUAAGAUAUGUUUCCGUCACAAAAGGGUAAUGUUUUGAAUCA